rnacentral:rRNA from 1 species
AAAUUUUCUUAAGGAACUCGGCAAAAUCCCAAUGGCCCACCAGGGCAUAUUGGAACACGGGCCUCGACUGUUUACCAAAAACAUAGCCCUCGGCUAAUAUGAAAAUAGAUGUAUAGAGGGUGAUGCCUGCCCAAUGGUUGUAUCUAAAAGCGGUUGAUAAAAGUUGACCUCGUAAGGACAAUUGAAUGGCCGCGGUAACACUGACCGUGAUAAUGUAGCGUAAUCAAUAGCCAAUUAAUUGUUGGCCAGUAUGAAUGGCGCCACGAAGGCCCCACUGUCUUAAGGAAAUUCCCAGUGAAAUUGAAUCCGUAGUGAAGAUGCUACGUCCAAUUUGUUAGACGAAAAGACCCCGUUGAGCUUUACUGGAGCACUUACAUGGCCCCGGCCUUCCCAUGCCUGGGAACCGGCCGAAUUUAAAUGGGCGGCUUAGAUUAUGUGGCAGCCCCCCGCUGGGGCAAAUGAAACACCACUCCCCCAUGUCAAAGGGGCUAACCCCCCCCCUUGGGGGGACAGUGUAAGUAGGACAGUUUGGUUGGGGCGACCACCUUUUAAAAAGUAACGAAGGUGCGCUUAAGGUGCGCAAUUAAUGACUGAAGCCUGACUGCGAGGGGGACACCCCGAGCAGACACCCCAAAGCCCGCCCGAAAGGCGGCGGUGGGGUGGGCCAUAGUGACCCGUUAAUUUAGAGUGGAAUAGUUAACGAUCAACGAAUAAAAGUUACCACGGGGAUAACAGCGUAAUAUCGUUAGAGAGUUC